AGUAAAUGCAUGCUGUAAACACAACAAAUAAUUUUUUUACAAGAAAUUAUUAAGGAAUAAAUAUUAAAAUGGAAUUCGGAAUAUUUAUAUAACGUGAAAAAACAAAAAGUAGAGUAUGCUGUGUAGUCAGAGAUUGUCAGAGUAAAGCGAAUAAAAAUUUAAACGUGGUUUUCUAUAAGUUUCCAAAGGCUGGUGGUAGUUCAGUACUAUUAGAAAAUUAUUUUGGUAAUUUUGAAAAAGUUGAUAAAUUAGAAGCAAGGAAGAAGUUAUUUAAAAAUAUAUGAAAUGACUCCUCACAUGAAAGCUUGCUCUUGACAUUUAAAAAAAAAAAAUUAUUUGAUAUUGCCAGGCCACGCCUCCGUGUCAGUUACCAAUUGAAGGAAAGUGUUGGAGAGCAAGCAGUUACCUUUAAGUUGACAGUAACUUGUCCAUAACGAAUUCAAUUUGACUACUAGUGUUAAUCUCAGACAAUGACGUUAAGUUGAUUGAAAGUUUCACUUCAAAUUGUCGUGUGCCUUCAGCAAAACAUCUGGUCACCAACGUCUUUAUCUACGUAUAGGUUUUGCAUAAGAUCAUGUAGCAAGAAAUCGUCGCCCAGACAUGAUUUGCUCAAGGUAUUGUAAACAAAAAUAUUGAAGAUAUCUUAGAUACGGUGCAGUUGAAAAGCUUCUGGUGCAUUUCUUGCACCAGUAACUUAUGCAUGGCUUGCUCAAGAAUUGUCCAAGGUUCACGAUCAAUUGAGAAUAAUCUGGCAAAAAUUAAGCUCAAUCUAGAACUGAGUUUUAAUCCGGCACGAAUGUCUUGUAUAAGGCUUGUACUAGACUUGUUAUUGAAAUCUGGCUACAAGUAUCUGUAGCAAGACACAUAGGUAGGAAAAGACACUAAAGUCUAUCGAACUUGAGACCAGGUUUGCUUGAGCCUUGAACAAGAUUAUUAUAUAGGAUGCUUUUGUUAAUAAUUACAUGAACAAACAAUGGCCAAUUUCAAAUACUUGUAUUUUACAAAGUGUUCAUUAUCGAACGUCAGUUAUAAAAGGAUUAAAUGUAAAUUAUGUCUAUUCAUGUUCCAAGACAAGUUUCUUUUCAACUAAACGAUGUUUCAUUCUAGGAUAACUAUUAAUAAAGCUACAAACAACUAUAAAAUGAUGGAAUCAGAGUUGUCUCGGCUACAUAAGUUAUUUAAAAAAAUUUGCCAUAAUAUUAAAAAAAUCACAGAAACUUUUGUACCAGAAAAAUUAAUAACAAGGAUAAAAAAUAAAUAAUGUUAACUUAAUUUAUCUUGUAUUCACUGUAGACGAUUAAUAUGAGAGCCGGAAUUUUUAUUUUUUAUUGUCAUUUAUGAUGAAUCAACAUGUACUUGUCUAACAAUUGUUUCUUUCGUAUAUUUAUUUAUUUUUUUUAUUUAAACAUUUCAAACGUCAUUUUUUAAACUGCUGAAAAUUCCCGCUACGCUAGCUUGUAAAAAACAAAAGACAAUCGAAAUUGCUAUACUAAUUGUAUUGUUAUUUUACAACGCCAUUUGAUAAAUAAAACUUUUUUAUGUGCAUUUCAUUACUUGUAUAUUUAUUUUAAUAAUUUAUGAAUAAGUUAUAAUAAUUAACAAUAUGACGUCUUGGGCUGCUAUCCCAUUUGUGGAAGUUAUUAAUCGAGUGGUAAAUUUUGAUAUUUGUUCCAAUGGUGGUGAAAUAAAACCAAGAGGUAAUCCUGUUUGGGCAGAAAUUUGUCAAAUUUGGAAACGUCCA